AGAGCUGAGCCUUUGUGUCAUCAGAGUGCAUCUCUACACGCAGUUGCUAGUGCUGAUGGUGCUUGCAGUCAUAGCUCACCCACUGUUACUUUGUGGUAUCUUCAUUUUUUUUCUUAAAUUAAAUGGAAGCUUCAGUUUCACACGUUUCUUUCCAGAUUUCUUUAAAGCUCUUACGUUCACCCCUCCCUGCCACUACAGCUUUCCCUGGUAGAUUAUAGCCUGCUGGAGAACACAGAGCACAUUGUGAGGCCCAAGGCAGGAGCUGACUCAGCAGUCCUUCCCUUUAGGCCGCUGCUGUUCAUGGAACGGAAGGUUAGGUUUAAAAUGCUUCUGCCAAAAAAUGUUGCUGCUGUAACAGAACUGGUGCCCGUUUCAUUAGUAGUUGCUGCAUCCUUUAACUUAAGCUUCAUAAAAAAUUGCAGCCCUCUACAGCCUUAACUUAAACACUGGGAAAGAGGGUUUUCCUUUCGCAUGCUGGAAUAAUUCUGAUUUUUCCAUGAGAAGUGUUUGGGAUUUCCUCCCCAGAUCUCUGGAGAAAGGCCGUGUCCUUGGCAUGGCUUGUGCAGCUCAAUGGCCCCUGUCCUUAAAGGAUUAGACCCAUGUAAAUUGGAGUCCUGGGAGCUGCCAAAGGGAGAUGAAUGGGCCCGAAUGGCAGCGUGUGGCUGGUGGCAGGUUUGGGUCCAUGCGUGGUCUUUCUGGAUCAGGUCCUUCUGCCCUCCGUGGGGCUUCCCCAGAUCCCGCUGGGAUAUCUGCAAAGAGCCUCCCACCUUCUGCUCAGACCAUCCCAGCUCUGAGACACACGACCAGAUCUGCAGGCAUUGCACUCAGCUCCUGUAGGAGCACCGCCGUUGUUCUUCCGUGCUGCAGGGAUACGUCACUGCCUUGUUGUGCUUCAUCUGCUGAGAACAGGGGAUGGAAAUGGUGCUGGAGCUAGAAGUGAUGACCGAAGUGAUGUUCCAAGGAGAAAGUGGCUUUUGAGGAGGGCGGCGGCCAGGGAGCAGAGCUUCACACCGCUGGGAAUGGCGGCUGUCUGUCAUUCCAGAAAUACACUCAGUGCCAUUUUUCCACCAGGAGAAUUAGAAGUUAUGCAGGCUCGGCCUGGUUUCGUUAAUGGAUUUAAAACAGGUUUUGGCAGAAAGCAGCCAAGCACAUCAGGAACGGAGCAGAAAAUAUUCUUCAUGAGUCCAAGAGCCUGGAAACUGCCUCUCACACAUCUACAGCAAGUGACAAAUGCUGUUCUGGUUGUAAUCUGAAAUCUUUCUCUUUUCUCCCUCCCUGGCAUCCAUCUUGUGCAUGAGUGCUUAGGCUGUUUGUUAGCAAAUUUAAAGGCACAGUGCUAUUGUGGAGUCACCGUAGGACUCCUGCACAGGAGGAGGGACGUGUUGCAUUAAAAGGUACUUACUAAA